CUUGGCGGCGGCGGCUCCUGAGCUACUUUCCUCUUUCCUUCCUACCAGAUUCAGCUCGUUGAGCGUGUAACCAGAUUCAAUUUGUGUAAACAGAUAGUGAGAAUCCUAGAUCAAUUGGUAUCUAGAGCCAUUUCCUACCACCUUCCACCGCAAAUCUGGCCCCAACCUUUUGUUCUAUCAUCGAGACACGGCGCGAGAAGCAGAAGAGGCUCGCCAUGGACAACGAAAAUAAAAAAGUUCAUGUGCGAGCUCGUGGGAGAGUUCUCCGACAUCAAGGAGUCGAUUGGCGACCUCUGCGCCGAGGUGGAGGCGAUCCAGGAGUGGAAGCCGGAUCUGGAGGCUCGCAUCUCCGAGCUGCAGGAGGCGGUGGGCGCGCUUCAGCGGGGGGCGCCAGCGUACCAGCCCAUGUGGUCAUCGACAUACUUGAGGGUGUGAGCAAGGAGGCGGAGAAGGCCAAGGGCGUCGCGCCAUGGCAGCCGUCCUCGAGGCCAGUGAGCCACGGCGAACAAUUUCAAUCCCGGGGGCAGUUCCAAGGAACUACCCAGGGCACAGGUCAACAACAGUUCCCAUCCGUUCCUCCGCAACAGCUAGUCGCACUGUCAUCUCCGUUCCCUUUCACCAGUCCUCUAUCAGGGGGUGGGUACGUCUCGACGUCCCACGGAGGGGGAAGCGGCCACUCCUUCUAGGCCAUGACCUUUCCACAGUUUGAGGGUUCCUUUGAUUCAAAGGAUUUGCAUAGGAAUUUUGGAGGAUUAGAAUCCUUAGGAAAUUUUCCUAUAUUGGUUGUUUGAUUCAUAGGAUUGAAUCCUAUAGGAUUUUUUCCUAAGGAAUUUUUUGUACUACUUCCCAUAGGAUUUCUAGCAUCCAGUCAAACCUCUUUGAAAGAAUCCUUCGUUUUUCCUAUGAUGCAAUCAAACAACCUAAAAUCCUAUAGGAUUGAGAUGAGCAUGACAUUUCAAUCCUAUGUUUUUCCUAUUCCCAUGUUUUUACAAUCCUGCGAAUCAAAGAGGCCCUGAUGGGGAAAACCUGCGGCUGUGGAAGAUUAUGUGCGAGCAGUAUUUUGCGAUGUAUGGGAUCGACAAGUCCUUUUGGUUGCCCAUGGCCACGCUCAAUUUUUCCAACACCACCACUAUCUGGCUGCAGUCCGUCCAACGCAAAGUAUCUGGACUAAAUUGGGAGGGGUUUGUGAGUUUUUAUGUGGGAAGUUUGGGAUCGAUCAGCACCAGCAGUUAAUUAGACAGUUUUACCACAGUUCGUGGAGGGGCUAUGCAACGACAUCGGGGCGGUGGUGCUCAUCCGGCGGCCGACGGACCUGGACACGGCCGGUUCCUUGGCUCUCCUGCAAGAGGAACUGGCCAAGGGCUUCCGACGGGAACGAGCGCGCCGCCAGGACUCGACGGCGUCUCAGCCCUCGUCAAGCCGGCAUCAAAUCUGCCCCUGGCGGCGUCUGUGCCUCGCGCUGGUGGCCUGGCGGGAGCAGAGGAUCGUCGAGCAUUGGAUGCUACAAGGCCGGUGCACGACACCGACAAGGUAGCUACCCUUCGCGCCUAUCGGCGGGCGACGGGGUUGUGCUUCACUUGCGGGGAGCGGUGGGGACGCGACCAUCGCUGCCCUGCCUGAGUUCCCCUCCAUGUCAUUGAAGAACUGAUGCAGAUGUUGGAAACUGAGGACAAUGUGAUGCCGACUGAAAACGAGCAGCAGAGCGAUGAGGUGGCAAACUGCGUAGCUAUAUCUUUCCACGCGCUCGACGACACUGCAUCCCCAAAAGCGCUCCAGCUGCAGGGGUGGGUGGGGGACACUAAGGUUUUGAUGCUCAUUGAUUCAUGCAGCCCAUCGUCGUUCAUCAAGCAGGAGUUGAUCAGAACGGAGAUCUGAGCAACUCCUCUGCUCGCCGACUUCGUGUACGUGUAGUAGAUGCUGGCGAAUUAGCAUGCACACAUGAGGUGGUGGAUUGCCAAUGGUGGAGCUAGGGCCAACAGUUUUCUUGCAGUUUGAAGGUUCUUCCUUUGCACGGUUACGAUAUCA